rnacentral:lncRNA from 1 species
CCUCAGACACCUGCUGUACCAUAAGGGAUGAGAAACUUACGGAGCAGACUUAGACCCAAGACAUAGAUUAAACCAAGCCAAUCCCAGCCUCAAUGAGCUGAAUUCAGUAACCUGCACCUCUUGACCCUGAAGAUGAUGGCCCAGCAUCAAAUCAACAGGAAGGACACUGAGGUGAUGAUGAUGGAGAUGAGCGUCAGUGUGUGCAAGUGGGAAGAUGUUCAUGCGAGUCUUCUCAAAAAGCAUUGGACACCUGCCAAUAACAUGUCCCAGAACUCCUUACCAGCAGGCUUCCUUUCAGAUUAUGCCAAGGAAAAACACCGAGUAGCAAAACCCCUGGCCAUCAAUAGGCACAUGCUUGGCCUUCAGAAAAUAGCCGGCAGGAGGUUUUACAGCAGUUAGUGAUGGUUCUGUGAAUCAUUUAUUUUGAUGCUUCUGGCUACCAUGAUCGCUGACAAGAGUUUCCAAUUAUCUCUGCCACUUUCUGAUUUCCCAACUAACAGCUUCUCUUGACUCUUACCUCCUUUGUCAUAUGGUGCAGUUCCCUAUUUCAAAUCUGCUCCUGCUUAAAAUGCCUAAGAUCUUUGUUUUCUGAUCAAACCAUGCCUUAUACAAUGUUUUAUUUUUAAUUUUUAAAAAGUAAACAAAAAAAUGAGUUUUUCUGGUCUACUUUAAGCUGCUUAUUAUUUAAAGUGGAGAAAUUCAAUGUUUCUGUAACUGUCCCCCUAUAUAAAAACUUGGAUUUGCAUAAUAGUUUACAGUUUCCAAGAUACUUUUUCAUUCAUUGCCUUCUGUAAUGCCAGAUUUCUUGUUUUUCACAAUCGCUUUAUUUCUAAAAACACAGAGGAAUGACAUUUUAUAAAACUUUGCAGUUAACAAGGCCCUUUUAAUCUCAGUCAAUUCUACAAAUAUUGAUUUAAGACAAGUUUUAUUACUUUCUCCAUUUUUAGAUGAA